rnacentral:rRNA from 1 species
AGAGUUUGAUCCUGGCUCAGGACGAACGCUGGCGGCGUGCCUAACACAUGCAAGUCGAGCGGAGACAGUGAGUAGCUUGCUAUGAGCUGUUUUAGCGGCGGACGGGUGAGUAACGCGUGAGCAACCUUUCCCAGACAGGGGAAUAACACACCGAAAGGUGUACUAAUACCGCAUAAGACCACGGGAUCACAUGGUUCUGGGGUAAAAGAAUUAUCGGUUUGGGGUGGGCUCGCGUCCGAUUAGGUAGUUGGUGAGGUAACGGCCCACCAAGCCGACGAUCGGUAGCCGACCUGAGAGGGUGAUCGGCCACAUUGGGACUGAGACACGGCCCAAACUCCUACGGGAGGCAGCAGUGGGGAAUAUUGCACAAUGGGGGAAACCCUGAUGCAGCAACGCCGCGUGAGUGAAGAAGUAUUUCGGUAUGUAAAGCUCUAUCAGCAGGAAAGAAAAUGACGGUACCUGACUAAGAAGCCCCGGCUAACUACGUGCCAGCAGCCGCGGUAAUACGUAGGGGGCAAGCGUUGUCCGGAAUAAUUGGGCGUAAAGGGCGCGUAGGCGGCUCGGUAAGUCUGGAGUGAAAGUCCUGCUUUUAAGGUGGGAAUUGCUUUGGAUACUGUCGGGCUUGAGUGCAGGAGAGGUUAGUGGAAUUCCCAGUGUAGCGGUGAAAUGCGUAGAGAUUGGGAGGAACACCAGUGGCGAAGGCGACUAACUGGACUGUAACUGACGCUGAGGCGCGAAAGUGUGGGGAGCAAACAGGAUUAGAUACCCUGGUAGUCCACACUGUAAACGAUGAAUGCUAGGUGUAGGGGGUAUCGACCCCUUCUGUGCCGCAGUCAACACAAUAAGCAUUCCGCCUGGGGAGUACGGCCGCAAGGUUGAAACUCAAAGGAAUUGACGGGGGCCCGCAC